CGCCAUCAUUACUUACAUGGACAAACGAGUCCAUGGUACGUUGCCAUGCUCAUGUACUUGGCCAUGCUACACCAUUAAAACCCUUUUUAAAGUAUCAAUUGGAGGGCAAGUCUGGUGCCAGCAGCCGCGGUAAUUCCAGCUCCAAUAGCGUAUAUUAAAAUUGUUGCAGUUAUAAAGCUCGUAGUUGAAGUUCUGCUAAAAGUAGCCGGUCUGCUUUUUAUAAAAGUGGUAUCUUGGUGUGUUUUUAGCAAUGAUGUCCUUUGAAGUGUUUUUUACUUUAUUGUAAUAAAACAUGUUCAGGACUUUUACUUUGAGAAAAUUAGAGUGUUUCUAUCUUGCUGAUGCUUUGAAUACUGCAGCAUGGAAUAAUAAGAUAGGAUUUUAGUUCUACAUUAUUGGUUUUAAGAGCUAAAUUAAUGAUUGAUAGGGACAGUUGGGGGCAUUUGUAUUUAACUGUCAGAGGUGAAAUUCUUAGAUUUGUUAAAGACAAACUACNGCGAAAGCAUUUGCCAAAGAUGUUUUCAUUAAUCAAGAACGAAAGUUACGCCGCUAAGAUAGGGACAAUUGUACACACAGUCCCUUGAUCGCAAAAAAACCCCCCACAACACAAAAAAGACAGCACCAGG
rnacentral:rRNA from 1 species